UGCCAGUUGUAUGAGCCACAUAGG
rnacentral:siRNA from 1 species